GAAAUUACCAAACGUCUAGCAUUCCCUCACGCUCGGCGCCAAUGAGUUUUUUUAUUUGAUGGAAAGAAAAAAGAAGACUAUGUCUUCGCCAUAUGAAAUAUGAAUUAGUAAGUAAUAAUAGCAUGACACUUCGAAUUCAAUAUGAAAUUUUUUUGAUUUCUUUUUUUUUCAAAACUUUAGAUUAUGUAUCGAAAGAGUAGUAUGAGAGAAAGGGCAUUUCCAAUUUUAUCUUAGCUUUCGUGGGCCCAUCUCAGCGUCACAAACUUUUUUUCUUUUCACACCAGAGGCUAUUAACAAUAUUUAUAACAAUAUUUAUGUUAUAAAAUAAAAGAGUACGAAAAAAAUACUAUUUUUUUCUUUCUUUUUUUUGAAAAAAAAAGAAACUUUGGGAUUGCUGAAUUACAGACAAAAUAAAUAUAUAAAGCAACAGAGCCAUCAUAGUAUUUUUGAACUUUUCCGAAAAAAAAGAAAAAAAAAGAAGGGUGGUAAUUGAAUUAUUUAGUGAUCUGG
rnacentral:lncRNA from 1 species